rnacentral:rRNA from 1 species
GACAGAGGGGGCAAGCGUUGCUCGGAAUCACUGGGCGUAAAGGGCGCGUAGGCGGGAUGGCAAGUCAGUCGUGAAAUCUCUCGGCUCAACCGAGAAGCGUCGGCUGAUACUGCCGUUCUUGAGGGAUGCAGAGGAGACUGGAAUUCCCGGUGUAGCGGUGAAAUGUGUAGAGAUCGGGAGGAACACCGGUGGCGAAGGCGGGUCUCUGGGCAUUUCCUGACGCUGAGGAGCGAAAGCGUGGGGAGCGAACAGG